UACACUCCUCCGGGAGGCAGCAGUGGGGAAUAUUGGACAAUGGGCGCAAGCCUGAUCCAGCCAUGCCGCGUGAGUGAUGAAGGCCCUAGGGUUGUAAAGCUCUUUCACCGGUGAAGAUAAUGACGGUAACCGGAGAAGAAGCCCCGGCUAACUUCGUGCCAGCAGCCGCGGUAAUACGAAGGGGGCUAGCGUUGUUCGGAUUUACUGGGCGUAAAGCGCACGUAGGCGGACUAUUAAGUCAGGGGUGAAAUCCCGGGGCUCAACCCCGGAACUGCCUUUGAUACUGGUAGUCUUGAGUUCGAGAGAGGUGAGUGGAAUUCCGAGUGUAGAGGUGAAAUUCGUAGAUAUUCGGAGGAACACCAGUGGCGAAGGCGGCUCACUGGCUCGAUACUGACGCUGAGGUGCGAAAGCGUGGGGAGCAAACAGGAUUAGAAACCCGGGUAGUCCCA
rnacentral:rRNA from 1 species